UACGUAGGGGGCGAGCGUUAUCCGGAAUUACUGGGCGUAAAGCGCACGCAGGCGGUUCGCCAAGUUUGGUGUGACAGUUGUCGGCUCAACCGACAAAGGACUUCAAAAACUGGUGAACUUGAGGACGAGAGAGGAACAUGGAACUCCAGGUGUAGUAGUGAAAUGCGUAGAUAUCUGGAAGAACACCAAUGGCGAAGGCAAUGUUCUGGCUCGUUUCUGACGCUCAGGUGCGAAAGCCAGGGGAGCGAACAGG
rnacentral:rRNA from 1 species